rnacentral:rRNA from 1 species
AGUGAACGCUGGCGGCAGGCCUAACACAUGCAAGUCGAGCGGCAGCGGGUUCCCGCGAGGGGAUGCCGGCGAGCGGCGGACGGGUGAGGAACACAUCGGAAUCUGCCUGGUUGUGGGGGAUAACGUAGGGAAACUUACGCUAAUACCGCAUGCGACCCUGAGUCGACGGACUGGGGGUGGAAAGUGAGGGACCUUCGGGCCGUCACGCGACCAGAUGAGCCGAUGUCGGAUUAGCUAGUUGGC